UUAGAUUCAUAUCCAUUC
rnacentral:snRNA from 1 species